UGAGGAAUAUUGCGCAAUGGACGAAAGUCUGACGCAGCAACGCCGCGUGAAGGAUGAAGGUGCUCUGCAUUGUAAACUUCUGUAGGGAGGGAAGAACGACCUGCUAUUGGCGGGUUUGACGGUACCUCCAAAGUAAGCACCGGCUAAUUCCGUGCCAGCAGCCGCGGUAAUACGGAAGGUGCAAGCGUUGUCCGGAUUGACUGGGUGUAAAGGGCGCGUAGGCGGAGAGGUGUGUCGGGAGUGAAAUCGU
rnacentral:rRNA from 1 species